rnacentral:rRNA from 1 species
AUGAGACGAGCUGCUGCCCCUUAUUGGAUUGGGGUCUAAGUGACGGGCCGUUGAGACUGGUAGGCAAAUCCGCCGGUUGAGGUGAGUCAUGAAAGAUAGUCUGGCUUCGGUCGGGCGAAGAGCAAGGAGUCACGGUGCCGAGAAAGAGUCUCUAGGGUUAAUCUGUACAGGGACCGUACCGCAAACCGACACAGGUAGGCGGGAUGAAGAUUCUAAGGCGCACGGGAGAACUCGGGUAAAGGAACUAGGCAAACUACAUACGUAACUUCGGGAUAAGUAUGGCCCUCGCAAGGGGGUGGCACGGAAAUGGCCCAAGCGACUGUUUACCAAAAACACAGGUCUCUGCGAACGCGCAAGCGGAAGUAUAGGGGCUGACACCUGCCCGGUGCUGGAAGGUUAAGGGGAGUGGUUAGGCGCAAGCCGAAGCUGCGAACUGAAGCCCCAGUAAACGGCGGCCGUAACUAUAACGGUCCUAAGGUAGCGAAAUUCCUUGUCGGGUAAGUUCCGACCCGCACGAAUGGUGUAACGACUUGGGCGCUGUCUCUACCCGAGGCCCGGUGAAAUUGACAGACCUGUGAAGAUGCAGGUUACCUGUGGUUAGACGGAAAGACCCCGUGAACCUUUACUGUACCCUGGUAUUGAAACCCAGCUUAGCAUGUGUAGGAUAGGUGGGAGACUAUGAGAUCUGCGCGCUAGCGUGGAAGGAGUCACCGUUGAAAUACCACCCUUGCUAAGUUAGGUUUCUAACGGGCUCCCUGAUCGGGGGUCUGGACCAUGCCAGGCGGGCAGUUUGACUGGGGCGGUCGCCUCCUAAAGAGUAACGGAGGCGCGCGAAGGUUACCUUGCGGUGGUUGGAAAUCAUCGUGUAAGUGUAAGGGCAUAAGGUAGCUUGACUGCGAGACAGACAAGUCGAGCAGGUACGAAAGUAGGUCUUAGUGAUCUGGCAGUAGCGCGUGGAAGCGCCGUCACUUAACGGAUAAAAGGUACUCCGGGGAUAACAGGCUUAUCUUCCCCAAGAGUUCACAUCGACGGGAAGGUUUGGCACCUCGAUGUCGGCUCAUCGCAUCCUGGGGCUGGAGCAGGUCCCAAGGGUUUGGCUGUUCGCCAAUUAAAGCGGUACGUGAGCUGGGUUCCGAACGUCGCGAGACAGUUCGGUCCCUAUCUGCCACAGGCGUUGGAUGUUUGAGAGGACUUGCCCUUAGUACGAGAGGACCGGGGCUAACACACCUCUGGUGUACCAGUUGUUCCGCCAGGAGCAAGCGCUGGGUAGCUACGUGUGGACGGGAUAACCGCUGAAAGCAUCUAAGUGGGAAGCCCACCUCAAGAUGAGACAUCCCUGGGGGUUUAACCCCCCUAAAGGCACCAGGAAGACUACCUGGUCGAUAGGCUGGAAGUGUAAACCCUGCAAGGGGCGCAGCUGACCAGUACUAAUUCGCCGUGAGGCUUGACC